UUUGGUCGAAAAGUGAUAAUCUACAUACUAGAUUUUAACCUGCGGUAUACCGCAUGAACAAUUUACUUUUUAAAGGUAGUAUAUAUAAAAGUUUGUAAUGUGUAUCUAUUUAGUUUACAAUUGUUAUUAAGUAACGUCUUGCCAAAUCCGUCCCGCCAACCCGUCCCGUAAAAAAAACAUAUAUUUUAUUAAUGUUGAUCUUAUUUAUGAUAUAUUUAUAAAUCAUUGUUUAAAUAUUUUGUAAUUUUGUAGUAAUUAAAUGCUAUCAAUAUCUUUGCGGUUUGAUGAUUAUAAUCGAAUUGUUAUAGUCAUGCAGAAAAGCAAUAUCAAAAAUA
rnacentral:sRNA from 1 species